rnacentral:rRNA from 1 species
AUUGAACGCUGGCGGCAUGCCUUACACAUGCAAGUCGAACGGCAGCACGGGAGCAAUCCUGGUGGCGAGUGGCGAACGGGUGAGUAAUAUAUCGGAACGUGCCCAGUCGUGGGGAUAACGUAGCGAAAGCUACGCUAAUACCGCAUACGAUCUAUGGAUGAAAGCGGGGGAUCGCAAGACCUCGCGCGAUUGGAGCGGCCGAUAUCAGAUUAGGUAGUUGGUGAGGUAAAGGCUCACCAAAGCCGACGAUCUGUAGCUGGUCUGAGAGGACGACCAGCCACACUGGGACUGAGACACGGUCCAGACUCCUACGGGAGGCAGCAGUGGGGAAUUUUGGACAAUGGGCGCAAGCCUGAUCCAGCAAUGC